rnacentral:lncRNA from 1 species
CUUCACAUAAGAUAAUUCCUCACUGGCCAAUUCAUACCAUUAUUCUGCAUUUAGGUUUUAAAACAUGGAAAGUUCCUUUUAAAAGCCAAAACAUCCUUUUUAAAUAUCCAAAGGCCUCUAUCAUUUAUUCAUUCAUUCUACAACUAUUCUUGAGCACCCACUAUGCACUGGGCCCUGCCUCUCGGUCACCGCCAAUAUCGAGCUUACAUGCGGGUGAGAGAGACAGACAAGGAACAACAGCCGCAUGGCCAGGGGUCUCUCCAGGGCUCUUGGUACUCCAGUGCCUCCCUGCACCCAGCCAUCCUCAAAGCAACAUUGGUAUGAAUGAGGCUGAGACUCACAGAGAAAGACAAUAGUGGACAAAACAAAGUCGUGGCUCCCUGCAGGCUGACAGCCUAGUACAGGGAGCUAAGAACACAUAACAGAUGAAUAGCUAUACACACACCAGGUAGUUAUAAAUGCCAUGAAAAAUAAGACAGAUAAGAGGAGUACAGAAUGAUGAAGGGCUUGCUAUUUUAUAUACGAUGGUCAAGAAAGUCUCUGAUUAAGUGUCAUUUGAGCAGAGAAUGUGCUAGGAAGCUCUAUGGAGGAACAGCAUUCCAGGGAGAUGGAAUCACAAAUGCAAAGAUUCCGAGGUGGAAGCAUGCUUGCUUUGUUCCGGGAACACAAGGAAGUCAGUGUGUCUAGAGGGGUGCACAGGGAGUGGCACGGCAAAGGGAAUUGCCCCUCAGGAGCAGAGGGUUAUGUCAGAGGGGAGGCGCGAACCAGGUCGCAUAGCACAUUCUAGGAUGUAAUGAGUGUGGAUUCUAUGUUGCCAUGGGAAGCCAGCAUCCUUGCACGAGGUGGUUAAGUGCUGAGAGAAGAUAAAUCAGAUUAAGGGGCUAGAGAGAGACUGGAAGCCUGGGGAAGCUAUUUGAAACAAACGGGCAGAGGAGCUCUCUCUGAGGAAGUGACUUUAGGGCUGAGUCUUGAAAUAUCUGAAGUAGCGACCAUGCAGAUUUCUGGGAUAAGCCAGUUCCAGGCAGAAAAAAUAGCACUGAAGUGGGAAUAAGCAUCACAUAUCCUGGAAAGAGCAAGAAGGUCAGCGUGGCCAGGGCACAAUACCAGAGGAAGCAGGGGGAGGAGGCCAGCCCUGUGGAGGCCGUGGGACGGUACUUGGCUUUUAUUCUAAAUACACUGGGAAGAUUUUCGAGGACUGUAAGUAGAAAUGACAUGCUUGCUUGUUUUUCGAGGGAACUGGCUGAAAACCCAGUAGAUUUUGGUGGCUGUUCUUGACUAAGAAGAGUGUGGAACAAAGUCACAGAGCCACGGCCCCAGACAAGACCUGGAUGAAGCGCUACAGCCUGGUAGUGCCAAGACUGGGAGGGAAACAGAAGAGCACUAUGAGACAGAAUCCAGAAGCAAGGAGAGGAAGGAAAGGCCUUGGACCCCCUAAGGAGAAGGAGGGUAAACACACAGGAGCAGGAUUGCUGGGUCAUAUGAAUGCACAUUUUUCCCCCUGGAUUGCAAAUAAUCUGAACCAGGGUAAAACCAUUACAAAGUGGCCUUCAAACAUCAUGUCUGUAUUGGAACUGAAUGAUUGAUCAGACAUUUAAAUACGGAAACUGGGAAUUCAGCUGACCAGAAUUUCACCAGGGUGACAUGACAGUUUGUUGCUAAGGAACUGAAGACUAUGUCAUAAGUGAGCAUUCUGAUGAAGAGGAGUGAACAGUUUGCAGCAGAUUGGAUAUUAAGUAUAAAUCAGCUCUCUGUGUAUGUCCUUGUGUGGUGGUAUAACUGACAACAGGUAGGGUUCCUGAUGGGAUUGGGUUCCACCAAUCAGAGCCACUUGCAUGAGACCUCAACUGAGAGCCAGGUGUUUGAAGAGGAGGGGCUCACUCUAAAUCUUGAAGAUGUUCAGCCUCGAAAAAGUAGAAGUCAUUGUGACCAAAGAUGAUGCCACCAUGCCUUUGAAAAAGAAAGGUGAUGAGCCUCAAAUGGAAAAAUACAUUCAAGAAAGGUCAAUGCUAGUGAGUAUGAAUGAACACAUAGCAAAAAUUUCAGGUAGAACAGCCAUGCCAAGGGCUGGUGGGACAGGUGAGGCCGAGUGAAUAAAAAGAAGUAGCCCCAGAGACACUCAAGGUGGUUCCAGCUGCUUUUGAAGGAGGUUUCUUUCUAAGAGGUGGCUGGGCUUGGUUUCAGCGUAUUCCAAUUUGGGACUCAUGAACUGCAACUAAUAAAGAUCAAAA